UGCUAGAAUCAUGUGGACCCCAGUGUAACAAAUCUAUGGAAAAAGAGAAAAUCUCAGCUCAAGGGUCAACAUGUCUUUAUUCCAAGAAAGAGUGUACAUAUGCCAGAAUCAUAUGGACCGCAGACUGGCCCUGGUGAUUCCGUUAAGAAAAAAGAGGAAAAAUCAGUGCUUGUGCUCAUUGGUCAUUGGACAAAGGGUGUAUGCCAGAAUUUUUUCAAGAACAGUCUGAAUCUGACAUGGAAAAAAUGAAGAAAAACAGCCUUCCUGUUUAUAAAUCUACAUUCUGACAAAGGGUAAGAAAGAAAUUCAGGAGUUCUUAAAUUGCCCUUGGAGUUCUUGGAUUGCAUCAAACUGCUAAAAGACCUCAACAAAAACAGCGUAUUGAAAAUAAAAAUGAAAAUAUUCAGUGAAAAAAAAAAUGAUGAAAGAGCCACUAAAAAAUCUUCAAGCCUUUGAGCUGAAAUCUGGAAGUCAAUCUGUGGACUUUACUAGUAAGUCAUAAUUACUAAGUCAUCAUUUGUGUAUAAUAAAUACACUAAACUGUAAAUACUUGUUAAAAUGUGUAUAAUUUUUAGAUAUAAUUUGUAUCUCAUAGACUUCAAUAGUUUCAUGUAAUUUAAGUAAUAAUGAAAAAUUCCUGUUGUCUAGCUAGAUUAGAAACUAUUAUUGUCCAAUUUUGGAUAUUGUGAAAUAAUUCAUCUAGUAUGCAUACAUGUGUGUAC